rnacentral:lncRNA from 10 species
CGCCCCACGGCCUGUCCCGCCCUUCCGCGCUCCCUUAACGCGAGCCCCGCCCCGCCCCCCGCGCUCCGUCUCGGAAGGAUCUUCCUGGUCCUGCCCCGCCCCUCCCGGGCUGUCCAUCACCACCCCUCCGGCCCCCGCCGGAAAGAGGACCUGGAGGAAAAGACCCCUCAGGCUCCGGCCGCAGCUCCACCCGCAGGGGCCGUGGGAAGCGGGCGCUCCGGGGAGGAUGCCGCGCCCAGUAGGGGUCGACCCGAAGAGGGGGUCCCCUCCGGGGGGGGACCUGCCCGGGGCUGGGCGAGGGUAUGAGUUCCCGGCUCCCCCACAUCCAUCACCCUCAGGCCACGCUGAGCUUCCUGGACGCGGAAGCCUAGGCCCCAGCACCGCUGCACCUGCCGGCCGGGCACCCCACUAACGCGGCAUCCCGAGAAGGGCCGACUUCCAGGACGACGCAGCUGCGUGCACACAGCCCCCCUUGGCCCGGUGCGGCGGCCCGCAGGGGAGAACGAGCUUGCAGGGUGCGGGUGCGGGCCGCUGGGGCCGAUCUGGCGUCGCAGAACCCGGGGUCCACACCGUCCAGGCUGCGGCCGCGACGACCCCCUGCCAGGCGCCGGUCUCCUCCGGGAGGGCUCCAGCCCGCGCCACCUCCAGGCACAGGGCGCCCUCGUAACUCCCAAUGAAAGUCCUGCGGGAAACGGUUCCCGACCUCGCCAGGCUGGGGGCAGAAGCGACGGGAUGACGCGGAUUGUAAUCGGAAGCCAUCCAGGGGCCUCACUCAGAGCAGAAAGUCAUCACGUGGACUCAACGAAUGCCCUUAGCUGUCUUCCUGGUGGACCAGUGACCACACCUCCCACUCCAGGGGCACUGGCAAAGCAGGGCACACACCCAGGUCAAUGCCAGGAGCCGGAUCUCCCAGUAAGACUAGGGGCACUGGUAGGAGCAUCAAGCAGGGGAUCCAGACCCUGCCUGCUGUCUGCAAAGAAGGUGGUACCCCACGGCCAGCUGGUCCAGCUCAGGCACAAAGUAUUCUUGGCCCUCAGGCCAGGGUCCUGACUGCCUCCGGUGGACAGAAGAGCAAGAGCGUCUGGAAAGCAACAGUGAGCUUGUCUCCAGCAUCCACAACAGCUCCAGUGCCGGGCUUACAUAUGGCAGCAUGCAGCCUUCCCACAGCUGCCCUGUGACCUGGGUACUGAACCUCUCCCACCACCUCCCUCAGCCCCCACCCCCAGGUUAUGAAUGGGCUCUCCCGAUUAAAAGCAUGUUCUCACUGCUUGGAACAUGGAGGAAGACGAAAGCCAGCGCAGAGUUUCCCCAGAAAACAGGAGCCAGAUGGUGCGAAUCCAACAGACUCCACGUGAAAUCAGCCACACCAAAGGUCAGGAGAUCUGUGUGGAGAGAAACUUUCAGAGAAGGCAACCAGGGCACAUCUCUGUUUUAAAACCAUCUCCUGGGCCGGGCACUGUGGCUCACGCCUGUAAUCCCAGCACUUUGGGAGGCUGAGAUGGGCAGAUCACUUGAGGCCAGGAGUUUGAGACCAGCCUGGCCAACAGGGUGAAACCCAAUCUCUACUAAAAAUACAAAAAUUAGCCAGGUAUGUUGCCCAUCUAUAAUUCCAGCUACUCAGGAGGCUGAGGCACGGGAAUCCCUUGAACCGGAGAGGCGGAGGUUGCAAUGAGCCGAGAUCGUGUCACUGAACUCCAGCCUGUGUGACAGAGCGAGUCUCUGUCUCAAAAAACAAAACGAAACAAAACCCACAAAAAUAAAACCAUCUCCCUACCAUGAGCCCUCCACAUUUGCAAUUCAUGAAAAUGGAAAGCUGUCAUGUCCCCACGUGAAUUUUCGGGUCUCACUAGAAAGAUAACCAUCAGGACCGGCAACAUGGGAUUCAACAACAGUUUCUGGUCUAAUUUUUUAAAAAGGACGAAAGAAGGCAGGCUGGUGUCAUGCAAUACUGCUUGCAUUAAAGUAUGUACAUUUAAACUAUGUACCUUGAACUUUUAUUGGAAAAGCGAAGCUCAGUAGUAAAAAUUUACGUUAAUCAAAUUCAUGGAGACAGAAAGUUGCAUGGGAGUUGCCAAGGGCUGGGGAAAGCAAUGCCCACUCCACCUUCAGCUCUGUGAAUUUGGGGAGUCA